rnacentral:rRNA from 1 species
AGGGCGUAUGGUGGAUGCCUAGGCUCUCAGAGGCGAUGAAGGACGUGAUAAGCUGCGAAAAGCUCCGUUUAGGUGCAAAUAACCUUUGAUGCGGAGAUCUCCGAAUGGGAUAACCCAAUAUGUUGAAGACAUAUUAUACCGUAAGGUAGGCAAACGCAGGGAACUGAAACAUCUAAGUACCUGCAGGAGAAGAAAACAAACGUGAUUCCCCCAGUAGCGGCGAGCGACCGGGGAUAAGCCCAAACCGUUAUUGUUUCGGCAGUAGCGGGGUAGUAGGACUGCGACAUUGAUGAAAUAAAUGAAAUGGAACACUUUGGAAAAUGUGAUCACAGAGGGUGAUAAUCCCGUACAUGUAAGUUUAUGAAUCAUAGCAGACUCCUGAGUAAGUCGGGACACGUGUAAUCCUGACCGAAUCCGCCGGGACCAUCCGGCAAGGCUAAAUACUCCUGAGAGACCGAUAGUGAACCAGUACCGUGAGGGAAAGGUGAAAAGCACUUCGAACAGAAGAGUGAAAUAGUCCCUGAACCCAUACGCCUACAAGCUGUCGGAGCCGCUUCGUGCGGUGACGGCGUGCCUUUUGCAUAAUGAGCCUACGAGUUACUCAUCACCAGCGAGGUUAAGUACUUCAGGUACGUAAGCCGAAGCGAAAGCGAGUCUGAAUAGGGCGUCAAGUUGGUGGUGGUAGACGCGAAACCUUAGUGAUCUACCCAUGGGCAGGGUGAAGGUUUGGUAACACAAACUGGAGGCCCGAACCGGUAAACGUUGAAAAGUUUUCGGAUGACCUGUGGGUAGGGGUGAAAGGCCAAUCAAACUGGGAAAUAGCUCGUACUCUCCGAAAUGCAUUUAGGUGCAGCCUCUGUUGUUUUGUUCUAGAGGUAGAGCUACUGAUUGGAUGCGAGGGCUUCACCGCCUAUCAAAUCCGGCCAAACUCCGAAUGCUAGAACAUGAAGACAGGGAGUGAGCCAGCGGGUGCUAAGGUCCGUUGACGAAAGAGGGAGAACUCAGACCAUCAGCUAAGGUCCCCAAUUAUAUGCUAAGUUGGAAUAAAAACGGGGUGGGACUGCUUAGACAGCUAGGAUGUUGGCUUGGAAGCAGCCAUUCAUUUAAAGAGUGCGUAACAGCUCACUAGUCGAGCGGUCCUGCAUGGAUAAUACGCGGGCAUAAGCAUAUAACCGAAGCUAUGGGAUUGUAGAUGAUACAAUCGGUAGGAGAGCAUUCCAUUCAGCAUAGAAGCAGUAUCGUGAGGUAUUGUGGAGCGGAUGGAAAAGCAAAUGUAGGCAUAAGUAACGAUAAUGCGGGUGAGAACCCCGCACGCCGAAAGAUCAAGGAUUCCCCGGCAAUGUCAAUCAUCCGGGGGUAAGUCGGAUCCUAAGGGUAAGCCGAGUGGCGAUCCCGAUGGCAAACAGGUUAAUAUUCCUGUACUGAUCAUAACUGCGAUGCAGCGACGCAGAGGUGACACUGCUGCGUACUGACGGAAUAGUACGUUGAAACCCGUAUUCUUUGAUACCGGUAGUGAAGCACGCCGGUAGAGAUGAAAGGUGAUAGUACCGCAAUGCUUCGGUUGCGCGGAUAAUGCAGGUAAGCUGACUGCCAAGAAAACCUGCUAAGCUUCAGGUAAUGAUCAUCCGUACUGUAAACGGACACACGUGAUCAGGUAGAAAAUACUAAGGCGCUGAGAGAUUCAUGGUUAAGGAACUAGGCAAAAUGGUCCUGUAACUUCGGGAUAAAGGACGCUCUUGUGAAAGAGCCGCAGAUAAUAGGCCCAGGCGACUGUUUACCAAAAACACAUGGCUAUGCUAAUUCGCAAGAAGAUGUAUAUGGCCUGACACCUGCCCGGUGCCGGAAGGUUAAGAGGAGAGCUCAGAUGUAAGUCGAAGGUUUGAAUUGAAGCCCCGGUAAACGGCGGCCGUAACUAUAACGGUCCUAAGGUAGCGAAAUUCCUUGUCGGGUAAGUUCCGACCUGCACGAAUGGUGUAACGAUCUGGGUACUGUCUCAACCAUGAGCUCGGUGAAAUUGUAGUUCCGGUGAAGAUGCCGGAUACCCGCAACGGGACGGAAAGACCCCGUGAACCUUUACUGCAGCUUUGCAUUGAUUUUGGGUAACAGAUGUGUAGGAUAGGUCGGAGGCUUUGAUGCUGCGUCGUCAGGCGUAGAGUAGCCGUCGUUGAAAUACGGCCCUUUUGU